AUAAAAAUAAGCUAAAAAAGCUAAUGGGUUCAUACCUCAUUUAUAAGAGUAAAAUCUCUUUUUUUAUA
rnacentral:tRNA from 1 species